rnacentral:rRNA from 1 species
UACAGAGGUCUCAAGCGUUGUUCGGAUUCAUUGGGCGUAAAGGGUGCGUAGGUGGCGCUGUAAGUCAGGUGUGAAAUUUCGGAGCUUAACUCCGAAACUGCAUUUGAUACUGCGGUGCUCGAGGACUGGAGAGGAGACUGGAAUUUACGGUGUAGCAGUGAAAUGCGUAGAGAUCGUAAGGAAGACCAGUGGCGAAGGCGGGUCUCUGGACAGUUCCUGACACUGAGGCACGAAGGCCAGGGGGAGCAAACGGG